AUUAAUUCUAAUUAAAACAGAUUAUAUUCACUGUUAAUCAAAAAAAAUGCUAAAAGGGAUUAGGGUUAGAAAUUUCAAACAUUAUCCUCUUCUCUCUCACGAAGCGCCGACGGCGGCGGCGGCGGUGGUGACCUCAACCUUCUCCUCCGGUCAGAUUAUCGCUUCGUCUCAUCUCUCAGUUCUCUCGUACUCGCUCUCUCCGAUUCUCCAACUCAACUUUUCCGGUCUCGAUCAAACUCUCUCCGAUUCUCCAACUCAACUUUUCCGACGAAGAUGAUUCCAAUCGCCGCCGUGAUCCUUGCUCAAAAACCUCAUUCUCCCCUACGCUUCUUAAUCUCUCUUGAAUCUCCGAUCGGAAGUCCGGUGUUUCUUCAAAUUUGAUGACGAUGAAGAGAAAUUCAGAGAGGUUCUUCAAUAAGUCGGAUUUGAUGAAGAAUUAACGAUUGUUGCCGCGUUGAUGUUGUUGCAAUUGGUUGAAUCAAACGAUGACCACGCGUUGAUGGAAGAGAAGAGUUGAAGAUCAAAACAAUUGCCGAAACAAAGUUGUGCGCGGAGAUUGAUGAAGAAGAGGUCGAUUGAAGAAUCGUGAGAAUGAAGAGGUGAUCUUCUAUUACAGGUGUGAUGAUUCAAGGACGCGAUGCAAGAUAUGCGGUGAAGAUUUGUUGAACGAUGGAUGAUGAUGCUGAUGAAUUGUGCAGCGUCGGUGAUUGAAGGAGAUGAUGAAACGAGAUCCGAUUGAAGAUUCAAUGUUGUUGUGGCUCUGAGAUUGAAGAGAAGAAGAUGAAGAUUUAUGUGUUGAGAUUCGGUUUCGCAGAGAUGAAGAAGAUUGAUUGCAACUGAUUAUUAUUGUUAUUUUCUGCAGAUUUCGGUGAAGAUGAUGAUGGAUGAGGAUUGCAACGUGAAGGAGCGGAUUCAGUUAUCAACGCAGGUGAGAAUCAAGAGUGAUUAUCGAGAGCUUCUGUUAUGGUGAUUGAAUGGUUAUGGAGAAGAAUCAAGAUUCAUGAAGGAUAGAAUUGUGUCAAGUUUUCCGAGAAGGCCCCGAGGAAGAGGAGAAGAGUUUGUUACGUUUUUGUCUUUUCUGUUAUCAUCUUCUUCUUUUUUGUUAAUAGUUUCAAGUCGGUUUCGGUUUGAUUUCUUUGAUGCAGCUGCACGUUUUUUGAGUUUUGUUAUCUACAGAUGGCCUAUGAAUGCAGGAUUAUCACACCUUUCAUCUCUUGUUGACACAAAUGAUUCAUUAUUGUAAACUUGAAUGAGAAUGAUUGUAACUUGGUAUUGAUGAAUGAUGUUUAGAGAUUAGAAGCAAUAGGCCAAAGAUAUUUUUAUGUGAUUUUGUACUUUAUAAUCCUUGUAUGAUUAUGAAUCAAAUUGGAACAUUCAAAUUA